rnacentral:rRNA from 1 species
CUUGACCUCGGAUCAGGUAGGAGUACCCACUCAGUUUAAGCAUAUCAAUAAGCGGAGGA